GCCAGUGUGGUGUAGUGGUUUGGGUGUCAGACUACAACCCUGCAGAAUAGGGUUCAAAUCCAUGCUCUGGCA